AAGGAUUUAAGUUAAAGAAACUAGUAACCUUCAAAGUUACCAAUAAGCUUAUUAAGCCUUA
rnacentral:tRNA from 1 species